GACGAACGCUGGCGGCGUGCUUAACACAUGCAAGUCGAACGAAGUGGCGAACGGGUGAGUAACGCGUAAUCAACCUGCCCUUCAGAGGGGGACAACAGUUGGAAACGACUGUUAAUACCGCAACCUGAACGAGGGGAUUGCGUCUGAUUAGCUAGUUGGAGGGGUAACGGCCCACCAAGGCGAUGAUCAGUAUCCGGUCUGAGAGGAGGAACGGCCACAUUGGGACUGAGACACGGCCCAGAAUCCGACGGGAGGGAGCAGUGGGGAAUCUUCCGCAAUGGACGAAAGUCUGACGGAGCAACGCCGCGUGAGUGAUGACGGCCUUCGGGUUGGAAAGCUCUGUUAAUCGGGGCGCGGUACCGGAAUAGAAAGCCACGGCUAACUACGUGCCAGCAGCCGCGGUAAUUC
rnacentral:rRNA from 1 species